UAACCGGAACACGGCCUUGACUAAAGAGGUCACGCAAACAGGUGGUGGGUGAUCUUUGUUGUCGAUUUUCUCAACGUCCUUCCGGCAACUUCUGUUUCAAACUGACCGUUCAACGUAAUGCCAGACCAAUGAUUCCUAUUCAACGACAAACUGUGUUAUGAUAUGACGUGUACUAAUUAGCGAUUGACAGAAGAUACGAAGGGCAUUAAUUGCCGCCUGGCUUUGGAAGGGGAUCCUGUUUUUACUUACCGGAUACAUGACACUUGAUCUUCGCCGAGCCUUCCAAAUGCAGACGCUGGUCGUGCUGUUGACUGCCGUGCUGCUGUCGUGCUGCGGACCAUCCCUAGGGUACUCUACAGGCCCUCCUGUAAGCGCAUGUGAGAGCAUGUUCCCCUACGGACACGAGGUGGACGCCCAGUCCAGUUCCCCGCCAUACGAGCUGGUGGUCACCGACACCAACCUCACAGCCAGCACACAGUACAGUGUGAUAUUGGCGAGUGAAAACAAAGACGACAUUCGAGGGAAUGUUCGUUCAGGCGCGUCUUGCCGAUGACUGCAGCGUCACCUCCCCCAUCGGCAGCUUCAACAUCCCGGUCAACGACAACUUCAUGCAGCAAAUGGUCUGCGACAAAACAAACGAUGCGGUGUCUCACAGAAUGAAAAGCGCGCAGAAUAGCAAGAGUUUUAUCUGGACACCGCCACCUACCAUCCCGGGUACCAUCUACUUCAGGGCGACGGUGGUGUACAACAAGACGACCUUUUGGACCGACGUGUUUUCGGAGUUCCUGCUGCCGUCGGGCGCCAAACCAAACCCUCAGUACUGUCCUGUACAGAAGACAUUUGUAACGACAACGUCGUCUGCUACAAAGGUCACAUCGACGAAGGUGUCGUCGACUGUACGAGCGUCAGACGCAUGGACUGUCUCUUCUGCUCGGGUGCUGACGGUCGUCGUGUGUGUUGUCGCUGUUGUAGCAGUAUCUUGUAACGGUUCUGCUUGAGAAGUUCAUAAACUAUAAAAUCUUAGAUGACCGUUACGAACUAACCCUACAACUUGUGUAGAGUGCUGUGCUGUAUGUCUUGCCCCUGAACCCCCGGCCACCAUGGCCACCUCCAUAAAUGUUCUGAUUUGAGUGGAAAUCUAGAAGGUGCGAGGGCAGCUCAUAUUGGGACAAUAUGACCAGAACUUUUUAGCGAUUUAGUUUAAGUUUGGGGAGUCAUUCCUUGGUACCUGUGUGCUCGCCUAGAUUC
rnacentral:misc_RNA from 1 species